rnacentral:rRNA from 1 species
GGGUCAGUAGGUUGGUCGUGCCACCGGUACGUACUGGUCUCACUGAUUCCUCCUUCCUGAAGAACCGUAAUGCCAUUAAUUUGGUGUUGCGGGGAAACAGGACUUUUACUUUGAAAAAAUUAGAGUGUUUAAAGCAAGCUAACGCUUGAAUACAUUAGCAUGGAAUAAUGAAAUAGGACGAUCGAUCCUAUUUUGUUGGUUUCUAUGAUUGACGUA